GAUGAACGCUGGCGGUAUGCUUAACACAUGCAAGUCGAACGGUACCUUCGGGUAUAGUGGCGGACGGGUGAGUAACGCGUGAGAAUCUGUCUUCAGGUCGGGGACAACAGUUAGAAAUGACUGCUAAUACCGGAUGUGCCGAAAGGUAAAAGAUUUAUUGCCUGAAGUUGAGCUCGCGUCAGAUUAGCUAGUAGGUGGUGUAAGAGACUACCUAGGCGACGAUCUGUAGCUGGUCUGAGAGGACGAUCAGCCACACUGGAACUGAGACACGGUCCAGACUCCUACGGGAGGCAGCAGUGGGGAAUUUUUCCGCAAUGGGCGAAAGCCUGACGGAGCAAUACCGCGUGAGGGACGAAGGCUUUUUGGGGUCGUAAACCUCUUUUAUUAGGGAAGAUUUCAGGACGGUACCUAAUGAAUAAGCAUCGGCUAACUCUGUGCCAGCAGCCGCGGUAAU
rnacentral:rRNA from 1 species